rnacentral:tRNA from 2 species
GGGCUUGUGGUUUAGUGGUAUAAUACUCCCUUAGCAUGGGAGUGGUCCGGGGUAAAUGCUUCCCAAUCAUCUCA